AGAAGUAAGAGUGAUUGGUUUCAGUUUUUGUCAUGCCACUGAUUUGGCUGACCUGGUUGGCUUGUUGGGUGUCCCCUUCCUCUUUCACUACCCUGUGUACAUGUGUCUCUCCCUCUUGAUGCUCAGUCAAAGAGGACCCCCUUCCCUAGGCAGAGGCGUGACUUCAGUGUGGGCUAUACCAGUACAGUAGCGGUGCUUCCUUGCCAGAGACCCCAAACGAACUUAGGAAGAAAUAGAGCCCAGAGUAAAGCCUUUCUUACCCAUUCAUCCUCAUCCUCUGG
rnacentral:sRNA from 1 species